rnacentral:RNase_P_RNA from 1 species
UUUGACAGACAAUCGCUGGCAGCGCACCCGCGCUGCGAGAGGAAAGUCCGGGCUCCAUAGGGCAGGAUGCUGGAUAACGUCCAGUCAGCGCGAGUUGAAGGAUAGUGCCACAGAAAUGGACCGCCGAUGGCGAGACUUAUGUCUAUCGCACAGGCAAGGGUGGAACCGUGGUGUAAGAGACCACGAGGAAAUAUUGGUGACAUAUUUCCUGGUAAACCCCAUCUGGAGCAAGACCUAAUGGAACGCAUCAACCCUUGCCCGGGGGCGUUCGGGUUGGUCGCUUGAGCCGUUCAGUAAUGGAUGGCCUAGAUAGAUGAUUGUCGCUUCAAUGGUGGGAGGGUAGUUCCCGUUAUACCACUGGAAGUACAGAACCCGGCUUACGG